AGAUUGAACGCUGGCGGAAUGCUUUACACAUGCAAGUCGAACGGCAGCACGGGGGCAACCCUGGUGGCGAGUGGCGAACGGGUGAGUAAUACAUCGGAACGUGCCCAGUCGUGGGGGAUAACUACGCGAAAGCGUAGCUAAUACCGCAUACGAACUCUGGUUGAAAGCGGGGGAUCGCAAGACCUCGCGCGAUUGGAGCGGCCGAUGGCAGAUUAGGUAGUUGGUGGGGUAAAGGCUCACCAAGCCGACGAUCUGUAGCUGGUCUGAGAGGACGACCAGCCACACUGGGACUGAGACACGGCCCAGACUCCUACGGGAGGCAGCAGUGGGGAAUUUGGACAAUGGGCGCAAGCCUGAUCCAGCCAUUCCGCUGCAGGAUGAAGGCCCUCGGUUGUAAACUGCUUUUGUACGGAACGAAACGCGCUGAGUUAAUACCUCGGCGUAAUGACGUACCGUAAGAAUAAGCACGGCUAACUACGUGCCAGCAGCCGCGGUAAU
rnacentral:rRNA from 1 species